GUCACGCGCGCUAGCACAGAUUGUUCCUUCCUUCCUGUUCAAAAGAAGUGUUUCGCCGCUUUGUCUAUUUUAGUAUCCAGGUUCCCCUCCUCCACCUCCACCACUGCAUCAACCACGACGCGUUUCUUUCUCCUCCGGCCUUGGACUGGCGCCGGCGCCGGCAGAUUCGGGCUCCAGACCGACUGACUCCUCGUGGGAAUUAGGAGGUCCAAGAUCGCGGGUGAAUCCGGAGGGAUCGAUGAACAAGACGCCGACCAUGCGGAUCCAGCGCCGUGGGAUGUUCUAGUGGCGCCACCGAUCGAUUGCAAUCCGUAGGAGAUGGAUAGGGUGACCAAUUUCUUCGGAGCGCGGCGGGACACGACGACGACAACGACGACGACGAGCCUCUCUGCGACGACGACGAGCCUCUCUGAGUCCUGCGGCAACCUAUACAAGUUCCUUUUGCCCAGGUUCUGGCGUCCUGUGAGUCAACCGGAUGAUUGUGAUGGUGCCUUCACUAACGCAACCUCAGAGCGACGUCUUCAUGAUCCUGAGAGGGCACUGGUCGUGAUGUAUGGCGAUCGACAUCUAUACUACCUGAAUGCUGUUCCAUUUUCGAUUU